CUAUCAUCUCAUACCUCUCUAAGCUUAUCCAUUUUCCUACUGUUUCCUUCUUUCCUUGAUGGUGGAGGGAAGAUACCGAUGGGUGUGUUUGACAUGCAUAUACCACGGUAAGGGUGGUGAAUUAAUUGACGGUACAAGAAAGUUCUAUUUACUAAUUUAUUACAAAGAAAUACACACAAGCUCUACAGUAAAGCGCUUUGUUCAUCAAAGAACAAAGAAGUUGAGGCUUUGCUUACAACACACCAGAUUGUUAAUUUCAUCAAAGAAAUAAGCGUUAAAAGAGCAAAGUUAAAAACAGUAGUCAAACAUUUGUAAAUUAUAAUCGAAGUGUUCCUGCAAUAGAUUUUCAAGUUUGGAAUGAAGUGAUUUAAACAAUGCCUGAUUUUUGUAUUUAUGACUGAAAUUUUAAGAGCUCUCUACUGCUAAAGAAAAAUGGCAUAUAUCAAUAAUAUUUAAUCAUUUAGUUAUACAAUUAUAAAGAGGUCCGCUUGUUAAUUUCAUAUUUACACACAUACAGACUAGGAAUUAGUUGGAAACAGGUAUUUAAGAAGCAAUAUUUUAAAUGGCUAUUAUCAUACUUCCAAUUGCCAAAGUAAUCAUUUCAUUAAGUUUCACAACAUUUAGCUUACAUAGGUUACGGAGUCGUAAUUGCGACAAGAGAAAAGAAAGGAGAAUCAAUACUCUGAAUAUAAUUUUUAAUAACUGAAAGUACUUCGGCAUUCAGUAAAUCACUUUCAAUUUCAGAAUGUUGCACGGGCCCCUCUUGGCGGCCGUCUAGCUCAUAAAAAUGAUUGUCGUCCUUUGAUUUUCCCUUUACAAAACAGAUAAAAUGAAGAUCAGUUUCUACAUCUUCCUCAGACCCCUCUACUUCCAAAGGUGGACCAGCAAAUGCUGCAUGUAAAGCUUCAAGUUCUUUCGAAUCCUCGAUAAGCUUAGCCCUUUCUUCGAUAGAUGAACCUUCAGCAGUUCUGAUUAGACUUUUAAUAAAAUCAUUUUCAUUGACUUUUCUUCUAAGUUCUCCAUUCGAAACCGCAUGUAGCAAUCCAAUCGUUCCGCAAGCAUUUGGAAUUGUUUGAGGGUACCACAAGACUUUGUCACUAUCCUUUGGUAAAAUUCGUGAUCCUUUAUAUAUAGUUUUUGUUCCUGAGGAUGGAAAAACGAAUAAAAGAGCAUGGACAGGACGAGGGAUAUAUUCGGGGAUUUCCUCUAAUGAAAACAGGUCAAAAACGCUAGCAUCUUGUACACCGAUUUUUUGUAAGUAAGGUUCCAGCACCUCUGGUGUAUUUUCUAAAGGCCUCCACAUUGUAAUUUUUCUCGAAUGAUAAAUGGCUCUAAUUGAGGCUUUUUUGAUCAGGUUUGGAAGGCGUGGCAGAGGUCUCAGAAGUCAGCAAAGAGGCAAAACACCAAAGUUUGACAAAGUUAAUCGAAUAUCUUUAGAUUGCCAAUUUUGGGAAUCUACAAAAAAGCUUUACUAUAAUCAGUAUCCUAUACUUCAAUAUCCUGUCACGUUCAGCUAUGAAGAUGACUGUAAAAAUAGGGAUUGUUCCAUAGGUAUAUUAUAAAUAGAGUCAUAAAAUAUUAAUAAUUACCAAGAUUUACCUAUAUACAUUUACUGUAAAAUCUAAAAUU
rnacentral:lncRNA from 1 species